rnacentral:rRNA from 1 species
UCUUGGUCAUUUAGAGGAAGUAAAAGUCGUAACAAGGUCUCCGUUGGUGAACCAGCGGAGGGAUCAUUACCGAGUUUCGCAACUCCCAAACCCCCUGUGAACCGCUACCCAGAACGUUGCCUCGGCGGGCUCGCCCCCGCCGGAGGACACCCAGAAACUCUUCUCCAGCGUCCUCGCCGCGCAGCCCGUCCCCUACGAGGGCGGCAGCCGGCGGGUCGCCUCUGAGUGGACAUCCAUCUCCCCGGCGCCUCGCCGGGAAAAUGAAUCAAAACUUUCAACAACGGAUCUCUUGGCUCUGGCAUCGAUGAAGAACGCAGCGAAAUGCGAUAAGUAAUGUGAAUUGCAGAAUUCAGUGAAUCAUCGAAUCUUUGAACGCACAUUGCGCCCGCCAGCACUCUGGCGGGCAUGCCUGUUCGAGCGUCAUUUCACCCCUCAAGCGCCCGUCGCUUGGUGUUGGGGACCGGCCGCGCGCCCCCCAGCGCCCGCCGCCCCCCAAAGGCAUCGGCGGCCUCGCCCGCGUCCCUCCCCCUGCGCAGUAGCGACGCUCGCACCGGGAGCGCGGCGGCGGCCACAGCCGUGAAAACGCACGGCCACCGCGUGUGGCCCUCAGAGUUGACCUCGAAUCAGGUAGGACUCCCCGCUGAACUUAAGCAUAUCAAUAAGGCGGAGGAA